rnacentral:rRNA from 1 species
GAUGAACGCUGGCGGCGUGCUUAACACAUGCAAGUCGAACGGAAAGGCCCAAGCUUGCUUGGGUUCUCGAGUGGCGAACGGGUGAGUAACACGUGGGUGAUCUGCCCUGCACUUCGGGAUAAGCCUUGGAAACUGGGUCUAAUACCGGAUAGGACGAUGGUUUGGAUGCCGUUGUGGAAAGUUUUUUCGUUGUGGGAUGAGCUCGCGGCCUAUCCGCUUGUUGGUGGGGUAUUGGCAUACCAAGGCGUCGACGGGUAGCCGGCCUGAGAGGGUGUACGGCCACAUUGGGACUGAGAUGCGGGCCAGACUACGACGGGAGGCAGCAGUGGGGAAUAUUGGACAAUGGGCGCAAGCCUGAUGCAGCGACGCCGCGUGGGGGAUGAAGGCCUUCGGGUUGUAAACUCCUUUCGCUAGGGACGAAGCGUUUUUGUGACGGUACCUGGAGAAGAAGCACCGGCUAACUACGUG